UACGUAGGGUGCAAGCGUUGUCCGGAAUUAUUGGGCGUAAAGAGCUCGUAGGCGGUCUGUUACGUCGGCUGUGAAAACCUGGGGCUCAACUCCGGGCCUGCAGCCGAUACGGGCAGACUAGAAUUCGGUAGGGGAGACUGGAAUUCCGGGUGGAGUGGUGAAAUGCGUAGAGAUCCGGAGGAACACCAAAGGCGAAGGCAGUGUCCUGGGGAGUACCUGACGCUCAGGUGCGAAAGCCAGGGGAGCGAACGGG
rnacentral:rRNA from 1 species